rnacentral:rRNA from 1 species
ACGCACGCUGGCGGCGUGCUUCACACAUGCAAGUCGAACGGUGAAGCGCCUUCCUUUUUGGUGGGUGUGGAUGAGUGGCGAACGGGUGAGUAACACGUGAGUAACCUGCCCCCUUCUUCUGGAUAACCGCAUGAAAGUGUGGCUAAUACGGGAUAUUCUGGGUCUGUCGCAUGAUGGGUCUGGGAAAGAUAUUGUUUCGGUGGGGGAUGGGCUCGCGGCCUAUCAGCUUGUUGGUGGGGUGAUGGCCUACCAAGGCGGUGACGGGUAGCCGGCCUGAGAGGGUGGACGGUCACACUGGGACUGAGACACGGCCCAGACUCCUACGGGAGGCAGCAGUGGGGAAUAUUGCACAAUGGGCGCAAGCCUGAUGCAGCGACGCCGCGUGAGGGAUGGAGGCCUGCGGGUUGUGAACCUCUUUCGCCAGUGAAGCAGGCCUGCCUCGUUUGUGGGUGGGUUGACGGUAGCUGGAGAAGAAGCGCCGGCUAACUACGUG